UUUCUUCCCGUUUUGUUGAGAACUUUUUAAGAUGGUGCUGCCAACAUACAGCGACGUUUUGUGGGCAGCUCAUAAACCUACUAGAAACUGUAUCUCAGGCAGUACAUUGUGACAUAGUGAACUGAAGUCUCGAAGGUGCAGGAUGGUUGCAGUGUGGCAUGUACGAGCCAAAUUGAAGUGGCGAGGCCCAGCCCCGAGAGCAGGAAACGAGCCGGUGUUUGUCUUUUGCUGGAGUGUGAAGCUGGGACAGCAGGGUCCGGGCCCAAGACCAUAUCGAAGCAGUAGGGCCCUGGUGCGAGAGCAAGGAGCAGCCCGAGAUUUGAUCAAUUUAAGCGCCAGGCCGCAAUGGAAAGAUCAGAUUGAUCUAUUCCAUAAGAAGAGAUGUACUGCCUCCAUAUGGACAUAAGUUGGCCAGCUGCAGUGUGUAUGGUGAGAUAUACUAUUCUGGACUGAACCCU